GAAAUGCGAUAAGUAGUGUGAAUUGCAGAAUUCAGUGAAUCAUCGAAUCUUUGAACGCACAUUGCGCCCCUUGGUAUUCCAUGGGACAUGCCUGUUCGAGCGUCAUUUGUACCCUCAAGCUCUGCUUGGUGUUGGGUGUUUGUCCCGUCUCCGCGCGUGGACUCGCCCCAAAGUGAUUGGCAGCCGGCGUACUGGUCCCGGAGCGCAGCACAUGUCGCGCAAACGAGUGCCUUGGUACGGCGGCGUCCAUAAGCCCCUCUCUCACGCUCUUGACCUCGGAUCAGGUAGGGAUACCCGCUGAACUUAAGC
rnacentral:misc_RNA from 1 species